rnacentral:rRNA from 1 species
UACGUAGGGGGCAAGCGUUGUCCGGAAUCAUUGGGCGUAAAGAGCGUGUAGGCGGUCCGGUAAGUCGGCUGUGAAAGUCCAGGGCUCAACCCUGGGAUGCCGGUCGAUACUGCCGGACUAGAGUUCGGAAGAGGCGAGUGGAAUUCCCGGUGUAGCGGUGAAAUGCGCAGAUAUCGGGAGGAACGACCGGUGGCGAAGGCGGGUCUCUGGGCAUCUCCGUGACGCUGAG